CCACAAUACCCCAAUAUUUCUUCUUCCUCUUCUCACUCAUUUUGAUUACCCAGUAAACCCAAACCCCCUUUCCUUCUCCCUUGUUUUAAAGCUCUAAACCCGACAUUCCCUUCUUCCUCAUUCUCACCGGCAUAAUCGAAGACAACGCGCGUUACUCCUCAAUCCUCUUCUUCCUCUGAUCUUCGAAGGAUUUGGGCUGCGAAAAAUCAGUUGAUUUUCCUCUCUUUCGUGAUUUUUCAAGGAGUGUUGUAGCAGCCGAAAUCUUCCUCCCUUUGCCUCUGAAUUCUGCCGAAAUGGGGAAGAAGUGAGUGAGGUUUGGUCCUGUUGUUUAAGCAUCAAGAUUCAAGUUGAAAAACCAAAUUUCAAAAUCUGUUCUUUUUCCAUUUACUUACUGCUGUCUACAGAGGAGACGACGUGAUCGAGGAACCUUUCUAGUGAUCGCGGAGAAACGGACUUAGCUCCUUAAAGCAUCUUUGGUUGAUAUUGAUAUGGUCAAUGGAUCGGGCUCACGAGCUGGUCAUUGACGAAGUAGAGGGAAAACCUCCCUUUCUAUUUUGAGAUUGAUUAUAGAUCGGUAGCAGCCGGGAACAAAGGGAUAUCAGAGGUGAUGAGAGAGCGCUAGCAGAUCUCUUUGAUUGGGGAUUUGAUCGCUUGCGUGAGUUAGAUUAGUUGGUUGUAGAAUUGUGUAAUAUAAUUGACUUUGUAGUUUUGAGUACCCAUACACUUUGAUGUUUUGUUGGUUUGGAUCUUAUAUAGCUGUUGAGAUUGAGGCUAGCUGUCACAGAUGAGGAUUUGGAUAUUUUGUGAUCCGAUUUUAUAGGACAUCAUGUUGAAUUUGACUUUUUG